rnacentral:rRNA from 1 species
AAGUCGAGCGCUAUACUCAUUGUAGCAAUAUAGUGAGUGUGGAGCGGCGCAAGGGUGCGUAACACGUGGGUAAUUUGCCAUGAAGUUUGGGAUAACUCGCUGAAAGGCGAGCUAAUACCGGAUGUGGUUUCGGAGUGGCAUCACUCUGCAACUAAAGCUGGGGAUCGUAAGACCUGGCGCUUCAUGAUAAGCCCGCGGCCUAUCAGCUAGUUGGUGAGGUAACGGCUCACCAAGGCUAAGACGGGUAGCUGGUCUGAGAGGACGACCAGCCACACUGGAACUGAGACACGGUCCAGACACCUACGGGUGGCAGCAGUCGAGAAUUUUUCUCAAUGGGCGCAAGCCUGAAGGAGCGACGCCGCGUGGGGGAUGAAGGGUUUCGAUCCGUAAACCCCUGUCAUUUGUGAACAAUGGUUAUUAUUUAAAAGAUGAUGACUUGAUAGUAAUGAAAGAGGAAGGGACGGCUAACUCUGUGCCAGCAGCCGCGGUAAUACAGAGGUCCCGAGCGUUGUUCGGAUUCACUGGGCGUAAAGGGUGCGUAGGUGGCAUGUUAAGUUUGAUGUGAAAGCUCAGGGCUUAACCCUGAAAUGGCAUUGAAUACUAGCGUGCUGGAGGUUUGGAGGGGGGGAACUGGAAUUCUCGGUGUAGCAGUGAAAUGCGUAGAUAUCGAGAGGAACACCAGUGGCGAAGGCGAGUCCCUGGACAACACCUGACACUGAGGCACGAAAGCCGGGGGAGCAAACAGGAUUAGAUACCCUGGUAGUCCCGGCCCUAAACGGUGCGCAUUUGCUGUAGGAGGAAUCGA